rnacentral:snoRNA from 1 species
ACCCUCCCAAUUCCUUACCCUUCAGAUCUAAAUAUUGAUCUUAGCGGUUAAAAAAGAGAAAAAGGGAAACUGAAUUGGACUUGGAGUCUUUCAUAACACACAAGUUCAUUUUAAACAUUA